GGUUUCUCUAAAUAAAUGUGUUUAAAUCAUACGGACCUUGUUUCUACUGUCAAAACUUUUCAGUUUUACAAAUUGUUUGAAAAUCGCUUCUCUCUUAGUCUAUUUGUAACAGUGUAACUUACGAAGCAAUCCUAUCGUUUCCAAAUUACUUUUCGACUUGCAGUCAACAUGUUUCGCCCACUGACCACCGAGUCCAACAAGAGACACGACCACUCCAAGGAAGAGGUCCAUGCCAAUCUGGUGAUUUUUUUCCUUACUUGUGCUCUAAUCCGAUUUGUGCCGAUCAUCGCGAGAAAGAUAACUUCCUAGAGAUAUGAAAUUCACCACUAUUUCAUGUUGUAUGUGAGUGCUGAUAUGCAGGAUUAAUGGCUUUAAUCAACUUUGCGGGCUAAAAAUAAAAGUAAUCUAAAACAUA